rnacentral:ncRNA from 1 species
AAAGGUUUGGUCCUGGCCUUAUAGUUAAUUAGAGGUAAAGUUACACAUGCGAAUAUCCAUAACCCAGUGUCAAAUCCCUAGGUUUUAUGCUAAACCCUAAGGAGAGGGCAUCAAGCACAUACCUUAUAGCUAAAGACGCCUUGCCCAGCCACGCCCCCACGGGAUUCAGCAGUGAUAAAAAUUAAGCAAUGAACGAAAGUUUGACUAAGUUAUACCUCUCAAGGGUUGGUAAAUUUCGUGCCAGCCACCGCGGUCAUACGAUUAACCCAAACUAAUUAUUCUCGGCGUAAAACGUGUUUAUAAGACUCAACAAUAGAAUUAAAACCUGAUUAAUAUGUGAAAAUUCAUUAUCAGACUUAAAUUCAAUAACGAAAGUAAUUCUAAUAAAAUAAUACACGAUAGCUAAGACCCAAACUGGGAUUAGAUACCCCACUAUGCUUAGCCCUAAACCUAAAUACUUAAAUAACAAAACUAUUUGCCUGAGAACUACUAGCCACAGCUUAAAACUCAAAGGACUUGGCGGUACUUUAUAUCCACCUAGAGGAGCCUGUUCUAUAAUCGAUAUACCCCGCUAUACCUCACCACCUCUUGCUAAUCCAGCCUAUAUACCGCCAUCUUCAGCAAACCUUAAAAAAGAAUAAAAGUAAGCAAGAUUAUCGCCAUAAAAACGUUAGGUCAAGGUGUAGCCUAUGAGGUGGGAAGCAAUGGGCUACAUUUUCUUUUUAAGAACACUACGAGACCCUUUAUGAAAACUAAAGGGCAAAGGAGGAUUUAGUAGUAAAUUAAGAAUAGAGAGCUUAAUUGAAUAGAGCAAUGAAGUACGUACACACCGCCCGUCACCCUCCUCAAAUUGAACAAACAAACAUUAUACAUAAUUACAACAAAAAUUCAUGAGAGGAGAUAAGUCGUAACAAGGUAAGCAUACUGGAAAGUGUGCUUGGAUUAA